GCUAUGUGCGGACGGGAUAAGCGCUGAAAGCAUCUAAGCGUGAAGCCCCCCUCAAGAUGAGAUUUCCCACCGCGUCAGGCGGGUAAGAUCCCUCGAAGAUGACGAGGUCGAUAGGUCCGAGGUGGAAGCGUGGCGACACGUGGAGCUGACGGAUACUAAUCGAUCGAGGGCUUAACCUAA
rnacentral:rRNA from 1 species